UACAUUAAAAAAUUAACCCAGUCCGGUCGGACCCGAUAAGCUCGAACUCAUAUGGGACCACAAAAACCCAAAAUACCUAGCCCACUACUAGCUGGGAACCACAGCCUACUAAUCAGCCUAUCCCACUAACUGAACGAGUUAUUUUUUCCCAUGUCUAGCUCGGUCAAGUCCGUUCAGUAAAUACCUUUUGUUGAGAUUAGCUGAGGAAUAGUAGAUUGAUUGCUUGAAUGAAAAGGGAAAAUGUGCUUGAUUUGCUGAUUACCUCGUAAAUAGCAAUAACAAUUGGAUUUGAUUUUGUUGUUCUAAAAAUACUUAAUUUAUUUGUAUGCUAGUUAUUAGGCAGUAUAUGCUAAGUGUGAGACUAGAAAAUAAGAUAAGAGCUUCAAAAAUAAUAUGUUAUGCCAAUCGAGUAUCCGAGAGUCGGGGUCUCACGCUAGUCUAUGCGGGGCCUCAGGGUCGAGCUAAGCGUUAGGCUGUGGAUGGCCGAUGAAGAACUUAAUAGUUUUGAGAGCUAUUUAUGAUCAAUGAUAAGUAAUAAAUAGAGAACAAACAAUGAGAUACAAUAUAUGUAAGUAAAAAAAUCUGAGGAAAGACAAUAAAGAGUGUUUAAGUUAGAGAGUAGAGAAUAUUCUUGUUCUUGUAUUGAAAAUCAUGUGCGAAAAAAAUAACAAAGGUCCUCUUUAUAUAGGAGGGGGAAUCCAAACAUAGUACAUAUUUAUUUAUUACAAAGAUAUGUGGCUGGUUCAACCAUUUAAUUCCACGGUACAAGCUUGUAUUAUUCCUAUGGACUUGGCCAUCUCUAGCCACUCACCUUGGAAAUCUCUACCUCGUUCAUCAAAG
rnacentral:lncRNA from 1 species